rnacentral:rRNA from 1 species
CACUCCUGCGGGAGGCAGCAGUGGGGAAUUUUGGACAAUGGGCGAAAGCCUGAUCCAGCAAUGCCGCGUGUGUGAAGAAGGCCUUCGGGUUGUAAAGCACUUUUGUCCGGAAAGAAAUCCUUGGCUCUAAUACAGUCGGGGGAUGACGGUACCGGAAGAAUAAGCACCGGCUAACUACGUGCCAGCAGCCGCGGUAAUACGUAGGGUGCGAGCGUUAAUCGGAAUUACUGGGCGUAAAGCGUGCGCAGGCGGUUUGCUAAGACCGAUGUGAAAUCCCCGGGCUCAACCUGGGAACUGCAUUGGUGACUGGCAGGCUAGAGUAUGGCAGAGGGGGGUAGAAUUCCACGUGUAGCAGUGAAAUGCGUAGAGAUGUGGAGGAAUACCGAUGGCGAAGGCAGCCCCCUGGGCCAAUACUGACGCUCAUGCACGAAAGCGUGGGGAGCAAACAGGAUUAGAUACCCGGGUAGUCC